AACGAAAACAUAUAUUACUAUUUAGAAUUCAAAUAUAAUCGGGAGAUUUGCAAAACUACCUUUUUUUACUACCCUCUUGCAACAAUACCCUUUUGUGUUGUCCAUUUUUAAAAAUAGCCCUUUCAUUAAACAGAAUGACCAAAUUACCCUCAACUAGUAGGAACAUGUAAUUGACAACUGAAAUUUUCCUGCCAAAUUUUUGGCGCCAAAAAAAAAAUUUCCGCAAAACUUUUUUCCCGCCAAAAAAAAUAAAUUUCCCGCCAAAACUUUUUUUCGUAACAAAUUUUUUCUCAGCAAUAAAAAAUACUUUUAAAAAUCCUUGUAAAUUUGUUUUGGUGGGAAAUAGAUUUACAAGAUAUUUUAAAAGGAUUUUAAAAUAUUUACAAUGGAUUUUAAAAGGGUUUUGAAAGAUUUACAAAGGUUUUUUAAAGAUUUUUAAAGGGUUUAAAAGUGUUUUAAAAUAUUUACAAGGGAUUUUAAAAUAGUUUUUAAAUAUUUACAAGGGAUUUUAAAGGGCUUUAAAAGAUUUACAAAGAUUUUUAAAGGGUUUAAAAGUAUUUUAAAAGAUUUAUAAGAGAUUUUAAAAGAUUUAAAAGAGAUUUUAAAAGGGUUUAAAAGGGUUUUAAAAGAUGUACAAGGGUUUUUAAAAGAUUUUUAAAGAAUUUACAAGAAGACCUUAUAAAAACUCUUGUCAAUUUUUUUAAAACCUUUUAAAAUCACUUGUAAAUAUUUUAAAACCAUUUUAAAAG
rnacentral:sRNA from 1 species